rnacentral:tRNA from 1 species
UGCGGGAUCGUCUAAUGGUAGGACUCCAGAUUUUGGAUCUGGCUAUCGGGGUUCGAAUCCCUGUCCCGCAGCUA